UCUUGUUACAGGGCACUAUCAGCAGCAUCCUGAUGGCUGACAUUGCUGCAGCCUGAAGAAGACUGCAGGCCCAGCUGGAGAUAAUUAUGCAAAUUCUUUGAGCACCUGAGUGGAAAUCACUGGGCUUAUGAAGUAAUUGGGAGGAACAGGAAGCAAGAGAUAGCUUGGAAGGGAAGCUCAGAGCAUAAGCCUGAGCUGAAGAGUGAUGGUGGUAUGGAAGCCUUCCCUUGCUGAAAGAAUAACAGGAACAAAACUUAAUCUCACUCUGAUUCAGUAGGAUUCCAACAUGCUGACACUUCAACUAAGUAUGAGUGCCUCAGAAUGCUGGAGAAUUUGGGAUUCAGAUGACCUUAAUAGGGCAAAGUGUGAGCCAGUCUCUGAUGCUUGAUACCUUCUCAUCCUGGGCCAUCUGCCUCACCCUGCUCUGAAUGACCUUUGGACCCCAUACGUGACCUUCUGCUGCAGAUUUGUUAGCAGAGUUCUGGGAGGUGGGACAGGAGGAUCUUCCAUACUCCGGGUUGCUAGGAUGUUAGUCUAAAUUAGUGCUGGAUGAAUAGUUUACAAUAGAUAAUUUAUUCAAUGUAUUUCUCCUUCUUAUUCAAAAUUAUUCAGCAAAUAAUUUGUGUGUUUAAUUCCUAAUCUGUAGUUUGUUCCCAAGUUCAUUCCAUGUAUUCAGAAUUUGAAAUUAGAACCAUUUUGAUUGGACACUUGAUAUUUUUCUGUUCCCUGACUGCAUGCAUGUACCUUUAGAGUCUGGUUUCUGAUGGAAAUACUUAAAAUUACAGAUUUGAAGUUUUUGUUUUCUGA